rnacentral:tRNA from 1 species
UCUCCGUUAGCUCAAUUUGGCAGAGCGGUGAGCUGUUAACUCAUUGGUUGUUGGUUCGAGUCCAGCACGGGGAGC